rnacentral:rRNA from 1 species
UGGCGAACGGGUGAGUAAUACAUCGGAACGUGUCCUGUAGUGGGGGAUAGCCCGGCGAAAGCCGGAUUAAUACCGCAUACGAUCUACGGAAGAAAGCGGGGGAUCGCAAGACCUCGCGCUAUAGGGGCGGCCGAUGGCAGAUUAGCUAGUUGGUGGGGUAAAGGCCUACCAAGGCGACGAUCUGUAGCUGGUCUGAGAGGACGACCAGCCACACUGGGACUGAGACACGGCCCAGACUCCUACGGGAGGCAGCAGUGGGGAAUUUUGGACAAUGGGCGAAAGCCUGAUCCAGCAAUGCCGCGUGAGUGAAGAAGGCCUUCGGGUUGUAAAGCUCUUUUGUCAGGGAAGAAACGGUUGUUCCUAAUACGGAUGGCUAAUGACGGUACCUGAAGAAUAAGCACCGGCUAACUACGUGCCAGCAGCCGCGGUAAUACGUAGGGUGCAAGCGUUAAUCGGAAUUACUGGGCGUAAAGCGUGCGCAGGCGGUUAUGUAAGACAGAUGUGAAAUGCCCGGGCUUAACCUGGGAACUGCAUUUGUGAC